rnacentral:rRNA from 2 species
AUGACUCUCGGCAACGGAUAUCUCGGCUCUCGCAUCGAUGAAGAACGUAGCGAAAUGCGAUACUUGGUGUGAAUUGCAGAAUCCCGUGAACCAUCGAGUCUUUGAACGCAAGUUGCGCCCGAAACCAUUAGGUUGAGGGCACGCCUGCCUGGGUGUCACGC